UNCCUAUCUGAUACUGAGGAUGUAGAAUGC
rnacentral:piRNA from 1 species